rnacentral:rRNA from 1 species
CAGUAGCCACGGUAAUACGUAGGUGGCAAGCGUUGUCCAGAAUUAUUGGGCGUAAAGGGCUCGCAGGCGGUUUCUUAAGUCUGAUGCGAAAGCCCCCGGCUCAACCGGGGAGGGUCAUUGGAAACUGGGAAACUUGAGUGCAGAAGAGGAGAGUGGAAUUCCACGUGUAGCGGUGAAAUGCGUAGAGAUGUGGAGGAACACCAGUGGCGAAGGCGACUCUCUGGUCUGUAACUGACGCUGAGGAGCGAAAGCGUGGGGAGCGAACAGGAUUAGAUACCCGCGUAGUCCCUGUCUCUUAUAC